ensembl:misc_RNA
UGGAAAAAACUGAAGUGUUAUAUUUAACCACAGAACAAACAUGCAUAUGCAAGCUUCUUCCACAUUACCCUACUAAUGUGCCUCAACCCUGGCCUGGAGACACCGCCUCUGGUGUUGAGAGGCUUGUUUAGUCCUCAUUCUACUUGGUGCUCCU